rnacentral:tRNA from 1 species
ACUAGUAGGGCUGCAAUGGCAGGUUACUCUGAUAUAGUAAUUAUUAAAGUUUGUUUCUUUCGCUAGUU